GGGGUUGUGGCUCAUUGGUAGAGUGCUUGCCUGGCAUGUGAGAGGCCCUGGGUUCCAUCCUCAGCACCA
rnacentral:tRNA from 1 species